rnacentral:rRNA from 1 species
UACGAAGGGGGCUAGCGUUGCUCGGAAUCAUUGGGCGUAAAGCGCACGUAGGUGGCCUGUUAAGUCGGGUGUGAAAUCCCUGGGCUCAACCCAGGAAGUGCACUCGAAACUGGCAGGCUUGAGUACUGAAGAGGGUCGCGGAAUUCCCGGUGUAGAGGUGAAAUUCGUAGAUAUCGGGAGGAACACCAGUGGCGAAGGCGGCGACCUGGGCAGAUACUGACACUGAGGUGCGAAAGCGUGGGGAGCAAACAGGG